GUGUCUUGCUUCUAAAUUGCUUCCAUAGUUUCCCUGUGUUUGGGUAGCAGAGUGGAGAUAAGGCAAUGGUUUUAUGCUUUGUGGAGUUUGUGGAUCCAAAGUGUGCUUUCACAGCUAUGGAAGCUCUACAAGGUAUGUCCAGAACUACAAGGAAAAGGUGAAGUUGGAGCAUAGGUUCUGAAGUGCACAGUUGGGAAAGGAGGAUGAGCGGCAGAGCUUUUAGCAACAUUUUUUUGGAGAUUUGCAGGGGAGCAACAAUGGUUGAUCAGAUUGUGACUAUCUGUUGAAUGACCAAAUAAUGAGAUGCCAGUAAGUUUACUUGAAAGUUGUCUGCAAUUUGUUGUUUCCUUUGGCCAAAACUUGCAGUUUAUUAUUGCAAUUUAUGCAGGAAGUAAAAAUGAUGAAAAGUGCUGUUUGUGCUGCAUUUGCUGAAAGAGUUUCAUCAAAUGCUGAGGUAGCUAAUAACACCACCACACAUCUAACACUUUUAAGAAUUGUAACCUGUUGAAAACAAAUUCUAUACAGGGAAGUAAGUACCUUUUUGCUGUAUGUGAGAUUUUGCCUGGAAAUGGAAACAAGUGUAGAGAACUUAUGACGAUAUUUUAGGGUCUUUAUGUAGGGGAAUGUUUAAUUCUUUGGGCUUUUCAGUGACAGAAGGAUGAUUGAAAUUGAUUAUGUUUUCCUGUUAUUUUCGUGUUAACAGUAGCAUCAAUCAUACUAAACUGUGAGUGAGAACUGUUGAUUAGGUAGAAUUAUGUUUGAUUGCGUGAUCUUGAUUUAAAGUCUAGCAAGAGAGCUUUACCCCUUUUGUAUACUUGCACAUUUUACCUUAGUAUACAUCCCUCUCUCACUUUGUCUAAUUCCUAAGGUCACUUUGUUUAUAUAUGAACAUUUUGGUACUAAGUGUUGCGGAUCCUGAUGGAACUUGGCGAAACUGCAAGCUCAAUAUAAAGAACUGCUCAUCCUCUCAGCUCAAAACCAUUCAAAGUCAGUCUCACAAAAGACAUUAAUUUCUAAUCUAUAGUAGACCAAUAUUAGAUCGUUGUUUACAUGGCAUUUAAAUUCUGUUAGUAUUUUACAGACUUCGGGUUGCUAUCAAUGGAAUUUUAUUGUGUAGUGGUUGUUUCAAAUUUGUGUGUGCAUUUUUUGCUUUGAUAUUGAAUUUUUUGAAAAUUUCAGAGUUGGAUUUGAAUCUUGAGUACAAGCCAGAUGUCAGGGAAGACUUAGAGGCUGUGGGGAAGAAACUUGAAGAAUGCACCGGACAAUCAUGUGGAAGAUGGAGCAGUGACGAAAGCUUUUGAAGUGAUAGAGAGAAAUUUGUUUAGGUAGAAGUUGUACUGAGGCUAGAAGUUGGUCUUUUUUGGGUUGGCCUUAAUUGCAGUUCGCCUUAUUUUGUGAUCCCUUAUUUUGUGGAUACAUCGGUUCCAUUUAGAAUGCUA